rnacentral:rRNA from 1 species
GACGAACGCUGGCGGCGUGCUUAACACAUGCAAGUCGAACGGAAAGGCCCUGCUUUUGUGGGGUGCUCGAGUGGCGAACGGGUGAGUAACACGUGAGUAACCUGCCCUUGACUUUGGGAUAACUUCAGGAAACUGGGGCUAAUACCGGAUAGGAGCUCCUGCUGCAUGGUGGGGGUUGGAAAGUUUCGGCGGUUGGGGAUGGACUCGCGGCUUAUCAGCUUGUUGGUGGGGUAGUGGCUUACCAAGGCUUUGACGGGUAGCCGGCCUGAGAGGGUGACCGGCCACAUUGGGACUGAGAUACGGCCCAGACUCCUACGGGAGGCAGAAGUGGGGAAUAUUGCACAAUGGGCGGAAGCCUGAUGCAGCAAGGCCGCGUGCGGGAUGACGGCCUUCGGGUUGUAAACCGCUUUCGCCUGUGACGAAGCGUGAGUGACGGUAAUGGGUAAAGAAGCACCGGCUAACUACGUG